rnacentral:rRNA from 1 species
CUUACACAUGCAAGUCGAACGGCAGCACGGGGGCAACCCUGGUGGCGAGUGGCGAACGGGUGAGUAAUACAUCGGAACGUGUCCUGUAGUGGGGGAUAGCCCGGCGAAAGCCGGAUUAAUACCGCAUACGAUCUACGGAAGAAAGCGG